CUAACACAUAACACACAGCUGUCUGUGCGGGUCGCUACAGUAAUUUGUUUUCGUGAAUUUUCAUACCUGUUUGUGGCUAGACAAGCUCGCUAGUUGAGUGUCUUGAUAAUAAAAAUCUAGCCAGCUAAUGUUAAUUUCUGUGCACAGCUGCCUACCAGUUUAUGAAUCUGGAGACACUGGAGGUGUUUGGGGUGGAGAGGACAGUGGACUCAGUGGAGGACAUCCCAGCCACUUGGCAGUAAGGGCAUGCCGGGCGUGAGCCAACAGCCCAGCUCUGACCAACGGCGAAGUCAGCUCAAAGUUAUUUGAUUGCUUUUGAUUUAAAAAAAAAACAUUUAUCUGCCUUCCCAAUGAAAAAUAGUUUGAAAUGUCGAACAUAUAUUUACAGAAAAUAGAUUUAUGUUUCUGAAUGAUGCACCAUGCUGCUUUGUUGACAACAUGACUGAGCUGCACAAGAUUACUGUUCCAUUUGAGAAGGGCGCUCCUCCCUCACGGCGUUUUACCUUUCACGUCACUGACCAUAGCUGGGUGCACCGCAGCUCAGGUUAAUAGAACUCCCUCAGUGUUGGCACUGCUACUUCCUACCUGAUGGGUAAGAGGACAUCACACACAGAAUUAGGAGUCUUCCACUAUUUACAUGUUUGGGUGUAUGUGUGUCAGAGGUGAGGGAUGAUAAGCCAGUGUUUGAGUAGAAGCGUCUGGUGUGUUAGGACUUGUGGAUGCACUCCAAUUUCCUGAACAAAAAGGGUGUUACAGGAGGAAUUGAAGGGGGAGCAUGCCUUGUACCUGCGGCAGCACCCGGAUUUCCGAGCCAUGAUGGCCGACUUCUUGCAGUUCCUGUUACUACAAAAACAAGCGACGUCAUCAUGUUCGCCUGUGAAGACUUCUCCACUGGGGGGCCUCUUCAACACCUCUUCACCUUGAGGACAUACUGUGGCUUCCUCUCAAAGGCCCUUUAGUGAGGACAAUACUAUUCUGGUUAGCAGUUGUCACUAGUAUGUACAGUGGCCCUCGAGAUCCUAGAGUAUUGUUUUUACAUUUUGUAAUACUGUUUUUACUGUCUACUGUUUUUGUUUGCAUGAGCUGUAUUGAAACAUUCCAAUCAACUCAUGCUCAUCUGACUCAAAAAGUAAACUAUUGUAUAACUUUGCUGCCCAGAUUGCCUAGGAAUGUAACAGCCUUUGAAUAAUACAAUUAUAUGUGUAUUAAUAGUCCAGACAAUCUUGCAAGGCAGACUAAAGGUCUGCUUAAUAGCUGAAACAGUUCAGCAGAGUUUGUAAAUAUAUUAUGACUGCAUUUUGUGAUGUUUUGAACUUUAGUGAGUGUGUUUUUCGGCUGUUUGGAUACAACAACAAAAAAUCCUAGAAGCAAGCCAAAGUUCAGAGCCGAAGUCCAUGUCCCUUCGUCGGGGGUGGGUAACAGUAGGGGUUCUUCAAUAAAUUAUUUGUUGUCAUUAAAUGAGAGACGACUUGUUUUCAUGCACAGUUUUUCAUUGAAAA